CCUUUGACGUUAGCGGCGACGGGUGAGUAACACUGGGUAACCUACCUAUAAGACUGGGAUAACUUCGGGAAACCGGAGCUAAUACCGGAUAAUAUUUCGAACCGCAUGGUUCGAUAGUGAAAGAUGGUUUUGCUAUCACUUAUAGAUGGACCCGCGCCGUAUUAGCUAGUUGGUAAGGUAACGGCUUACCAAGGCGACGAUACGUAGCCGACCUGAGAGGGUGAUCGGCCACACUGGGACUGAGACACGGUCCAGACUCCUACGGGAGGCAGCAGCG
rnacentral:rRNA from 1 species